AGCUUUGUGCAGUGGCAGUAUUGUAGCCAAUGAGGUUUAUCCGAGGCGCGAUUAUUGCUAAUUGUAAAGAUGUCAGUUUUCCCUGUAAUGAUCUAUUUAGGCUCAGGGCAAUUUAAAUCAUUAUCUCAAAGAAUAUUUU
rnacentral:snRNA from 1 species